GGCAUACCAUAUGCAAGUAGAKCGGUAGCAAAGAGAGCUUGCUCUUUGGGUGACGAGCGGCGGACGGGUGAGUAAUGUCUGGGAAACUGCCUGAUGGAGGGGGAUAACUACUGGAAACGGUAGCUAAUACCGCAUAACGUCGCAAGACCAAAGAGGGGGACCUUCGGGCCUCUUGCCAUCAGAUGUGCCCAGAUGGGAUUAGCUAGUAGGUGGGGUAACGGCUCACCUAGGCGACGAUCCCUAGCUGGUCUGAGAGGAUGACCAGCCACACUGGAACUGAGACACGGUCCAGACUCCUACGGGAGGCAGCAGUGGGGAAUAUUGCACAAUGGGCGCAAGCCUGAUGCAGCCAUGCCGCGUGUAUGAAGAAGGCCUUCGGGUUGUAAAGCACUUUCAGCGGGGAGGAAGGCUUUGUGGUUAAUACCCUCAGCGAUUGACGUUACCCGCAGAAGAAGCACCGGCUAACUCCGUGCCAGCAGCCGCGGUAAUACGGAGGGUGCAAGCGUUAAUCGGAAUUACUGGGCGUAAAGCGCACGCAGGCGGUUUGUCAAGUCGGAUGUGAAAUCCCCGGGCUCAACCUGGGAACUGCAUUCGAAACUGGCAGGCUAGAGUGUUGUAGAGGGGGGUAGAAUUCCAGGUGUAGCGGUGAAAUGCGUAGAGAUCUGGAGGAAUACCGGUGGCGAAGGCGGCCCCCUGGACAAACACUGACGCUCAGC
rnacentral:rRNA from 1 species